rnacentral:rRNA from 1 species
GACGAACCACACAAACGUUAUUCGGAAUUACUGGGCUUAAAGGGUGCGUAGGCUGCGCGGAAAGUUGGGUGUGAAAUCCCUCGGCUCAACCGAGGAACUGCGCCCAAAACUACCGUGCUCGAGGAAGAUGGAGGUGAGCGGAACUUACGGUGGAGCGGUGAAAUGCGUUGAUAUCGUAAGGAACACCCGUGGCGAAAGCGGCUCACUGGGUCUUUUCUGACGCUGAUGCACGAAAGCUAGGGGAGCAAACGGG